UACGUAGGGAGCAAGCGUUGUUCGGAAUUACUGGGCGUAAAGGGCUCGUAGGCGGCCAACUAAGUCGGACGUGAAAUCCCCAGGCUCAACCUGGGAACUGCGUCCGAUACUGGAUGGCUUGAAUCCGGGAGAGGGAUGCAGAAUUCCAGGUGUAGCGGUGAAAUGCGUAGAUAUCUGGAGGAACACCGGUGGCGAAAGCGACGGACUGGACCUCUUCUGACGCUGAGGCGCGAAAGCUAGGGGAGCAAACGGG
rnacentral:rRNA from 1 species